GACGAACGCUGGCGGCGUGCUUAACACAUGCAAGUCGAACGGAAAGGCCCUGCUUUUGUGGGGUGCUCGAGUGGCGAACGGGUGAGUAACACGUGAGUAACCUGCCCUUGACUUUGGGAUAACUUCAGGAAACUGGGGCUAAUACCGGAUAGGAGCUUCUGAUGCAUGGGGGGGGUUGGAAAGUUUCGGCGGUGGGGGAUGGACUCGCGGCUUAUCAGCUUGUUGGUGGGGUAGUGGCUUACCAAGGCUUUGACGGGUAGCCGGCCUGAGAGGGUGACCGGCCACAUUGGGCCUGCGAGACGGCCCAGACUCCUACGGGAGGCAGCAGUGGGGAAUAUUGCACAGUGGGCGGAAGCCUGAUGCAGCAGCGCCGCGUGCGGGAUGACGGCCUUCGGGUUGUAAACCGCUUUCGCCUGUGACGAAGCGUGAGUGACGGUAAUGGGUAAAGAAGCACCGGCUAACUACGUG
rnacentral:rRNA from 1 species